CUAUGUAGAUCAUUGGUGAGUUGAUAUGUGCUAGUUUCUAGCUAAAGCUUCAAAGGCUUCGUUGGUUUGAUCCGAUAACAGCCGCAAGAUUGUAAAUCAUCACCAUUAACUUUUAUUUCAAGAACCUAGAGAAUUCCUAAAAUGGAGAUUUUCAAGAUUGGUCUCUAAGAGUUUGAUUGUAUUGGAGAUGUUUGGCUGUCAAUUGGAUAUUGGAGCUAACGGUUGGUCAUGUUGGCUACAUUGAGGUUCAGCAGGCGGUCAGGUGCAAGGUGGUCAGCGUACGUGCUAGGAUUCCUGCAGCUUCAUACUUUUAGUGAGCCCACAUUUGAGGUCAUGGGAUUCACAUAGUUGUAUUUUCAUUUUAGGUAUAACAAGAGCUAGUCUCGCAACAUUAUUAUUUCAUUCGUAGUUUCAUAGAGGCUCCAUAGGUAUACUUGUAUUAUUUUUGGGUUAUGAGUACCCGUCUAGAUUCGCAAAUAAUAUCUUUAUUUUAUGACUUGGUUA